CUUUUUCCUCUUCUGAGCAUCAGUUCUGCCCCUCUCAGGCCCUGCCCUUGGCCCCUGUCAGAUGUAAGAAGCAGAAUCCAGAGCCUAAACGGCAGAGGAUGUCAGGCUUGCCACCCAGGCAGGAAGGACCCAGUCAGGGUGGGACAGUCCUUGUCCCUGGCGGGCCCUGUGUGUCUCCGAGGCAGGGCACCUCUGGAAAAGGCCCUGCAAGCUUGCUACCUGGAAGACUCAGUCUUUUUUAAAACAAAGAGCAUAAAAACUUCUUGGGGAGACCGGGUGUUAGGAGCUUUGGGAUUUCCCCCUUUAUCCCCACCUCCCCAAGAGGAAGCCCACUGUCACCUGGUGUCCUCUGGAGCCCUAGCGUUUAGCGCCCCCCCCCCCACCUCCCCACCCCCCGGCCAGACCCCUCCCAUCUCUGGAAGCCUCCCUUCGCAGCCCCUGCUGGUAAGCCGUCUCCGGCUCGCAACUUUGUCCUCCGGAGCCUCAGAGGCCACACCUAAGGGCAGAAGGAGCGAGCAGCCCGGCUCCCCUGAAGAUAUGAGCACGAGUAUUUGUUCCCUGAGCAUACACUCUCAUUCUGUGCCGUGAAAAAAAUGAAGGAUUCCUGGAAGACACCCAGAGCUGGCUCAGAACUCAACCUGCCUCCUUUUCCAAUGACCUCCCCUAUACUCAAGCCAGCAACGCUUGAUCGGCUUCCCAAAGCCCACUCAGCAGGUCAUUUGGACUGCUCUCUGCCUUCCUCUUCAGCUCCCCAAAUCCCUCAGGAGGAGAUGUGAAGAGAGAUUCAGCUAGGCACAGAGACAUGCUCUCAUUCCCAAACACACCAAAGAUGUCAAAUCUCUUGUUAAUUUAAUUCGUUUGAUGUCAUCCCUGACAACUUUUAGUGGUUGACAAAACUAUCAUAUGUUUAUCUGGAAAAGUAAACAGAUUAUGGCAUACAAACAUGUUUUGCAAAAGAAGAGAAAUAAGAGGAAAUUUUACCUGUUACUAUCAAAAAUAUGAAAGUUCAAGAAGGCAGCAGGUAAUGAGUUUGAGCAGAAAGUGUGCCCACUGUGAAGAUCUAGAUACAUCCCAGAGUUGCUGAUGGACAGGGAAGCCUGGCAUGCUGCAGUCCAUGGUGUCGCAAAGAGUUGGUCAUGACUGAGCAACUGAACUGAACUGAGCCUUGUCUUCGGGCUUCCCAGGUGGCCCAGUGGUAAAGAAUCCAUCUGCCAAUGCAGGAGACACAAGAGACAGGUUUGAUGUCUGGGUCAAGAAGAUCCCCUAGAGGAGGAAAUGGCAACCAACUCCAGUAUUCUUGCUUGAGAAAUCCCAUAGAUAAAGGAGCCUGGUGGGCUACAGUCCACGGGGUGAGCAUACACACACACAGCCUUUGUCUUACUAAGUACACUGUAUUCAUAUUGUCUACUAGUAUUCUUUGUUUUAGAUAGUUCAUUCUUAUAGUUUCUUCUAAGGAAAACAAUAAAUAUUCAUAACACUAUAGAAUAACA
ensembl:lncRNA